rnacentral:rRNA from 1 species
CAGUCGCCGCGGUAAUACGAAGGGUGCAAGCGUUAAUCGGAAUUACUGGGCGUAAAGCGUACGCAGGCGGUUUGUUAAGUCAGAUGUGAAAUCCCCGAGCUUAACUCGGGAACUGCAUUUGAAACUGGCAGGCUAGAGUCUUGUAGAGGGGGGUAGAAUUCCAGGUGUAGCGGUGAAAUGCGUAGAGAUCUGGAGGAAUACCGGUGGCGAAGGCAAUCCCCUGGACCUGUACUGACGCUCAUGCACGAAAGCGUGGGGAGCAAACAGGAUUAGAUACCCGAGUAGUCCCUGUCUCUUAUAC